UAUACAUUGCCGAGUGAAUAAUUCCAAAUCGGAGCAAGCUCCUGUCCACAUAGGCGCGGUAUCCUUAGUCUGACCGGCUUUGUGGUCAAACAAUACUCUAGAGCAAGAUGCAGUACUGAAUUUCCUCUCAUUUUGCACUAAGAAACUUGUUUUGAGAAUAUUUUUUAAGUCUGUUAAUUAACCUUUUAUUUAGCCUGCCCCCUAAGAAUUCAAUACCAAAAGCCAGGCAUCUUGCUGGAGACCCCCCACAGACUCAAACAGACAAUCUUCAAGCCUCAGCCUCCCAAGUGCUGGCUUUUUGUACUUGUGGGUCUUGCGGUAGACAUUACAUACCAUAAAAUGUAGCCAUUUCGAUUUUAAGAACUGUGUGUUCAUUCCCUCCCUCUAGCCCUCUUCGCACACCGGCGUGGUGUGUGUGUGUGUGUUUUCUGUGUUUUUCUCUGCCUCCCCCAAAUUAGGCUCAGAAAUCCUGAAACAGAUGCUGGGAGAAUCUUUGAUUAUAAUAUCUGGUCCCUACUAAACAAUAAAGUCACUAAUCAUCUUUCUGACUAGUAAAUUAACUCUGGAUAGGUCUCUAGGUGGAGACUAAUCAUUUUACAGACCAAGCCAUAAGUGGAAAAUUGAGAUUUACAGCCCCUCUCAUCUUCUGGGAAAGAAAAUGGGGUUCCCACAAUCAAGCAAUCCAAAAAAUAUCCCUGAAUUUUGAGGAUGGGAAAACCUCCAAAUUGCAUUACUCAUCUUCAGGAAUCUGGAAGUGGGAUAGAAGCAGAGAGACAGCCUCGGGGAACUGUUUUUCUCUGUCUCCUUGACUUUGUUAGGCACUCUGAUCUAUCUAUGGAUUGAGACAGUUCAGUCCCCUUUCAUGGUUGUUUCUAGACUUCAGAACCUUUUCCUUAAAGAAGCUGGUUCAUUUAGGUCUCUGGUGACCUCUAACCUAAAAGGAUCCCUCCGGUGAUGGACUAUAACCUAACGGGGUACCUCCUCCACACUAGCUGAGGGAGUGCAGAUCAGGGAACUGCCGCAGCUGCUCCCCAAGGCUGCUUCUCUGUGGGUCUCCCACUUCCAGAUGCCUGAAGAUGAGUAGCCUGAACUCAUCUGUCUUUUCCAUCUGCUGCUUCCAGCUGUGGUCAAAACAGUAUCCCAGUGGCCUCUGCUAAGAUCCUCUGGGUAAUUAUUUGGAAUCUUCAAAAACCUAACACUGGGUUCUGAUAAGAGUUCCAUGACCUUACUAGCAUCUGUAAACCUUGUCUGCGUGUAUGUGAAAAUGUCAACUGUGUUUCUAUUCAUGUUUGAAUGUGAACUUGAUUUUAUAUUCAGAACUUGUUCCUUAACAUUUAGUUCAUUAAAAAGUAACAUUAAAUAACACUGUAAAAAUUGA